UACGUAGGGUGCAAGCGUUGUCCGGAAUUAUUGGGCGUAAAGAGCUCGUAGGCGGUCUGUUGCGUCGGCGUGUGAAAACCCGGGGCUCAACCCCGGGCCUGCAGCCGAUACGGGCAGACUAGAGUUCGGCAGGGGAGACUGGAAUUCCUGGUGUAGCGGUGAAAUGCGCAGAUAUCAGGAGGAACACCGGCGGCGAAGGCGGCCAACUGGACAGAUACUGACGCUGAGACACGAAAGCGUGGGGAGCAAACAGG
rnacentral:rRNA from 1 species